GAUGAACGCUGGCUACAGGCUUAACACAUGCAAGUCGAGGGGAAACGACGGGGAAGCUUGCUUCCCCGGGCGUCGACCGGCGCACGGGUGAGUAACGCGUAUCCAACCUGCCUCUGACUGAGGGAUAACCCGUCGAAAGUCGGCCUAAUACCUCAUGGCAUCGUCUGCGGGCAUCCAACGACGAUUAAAGAUUUCAUCGGUCAGGGAUGGGGAUGCGUCUGAUUAGCUUGUUGGCGGGGUAACGGCCCACCAAGGCUACGAUCAGUAGGGGUUCUGAGAGGAAGGUCCCCCACAUUGGAACUGAGACACGGUCCAAACUCCUACGGGAGGCAGCAGUGAGGAAUAUUGGUCAAUGGGCGGGAGCCUGAACCAGCCUAGUAGCGUGCAGGAUGACGGCCCUAUGGGUUGUAAACUGCUUUUAUGCGGGGAUAAAGUGAGGGACGUGUCCUUCAUUGCAGGUACCGCAUGAAUAAGGACCGGCUAAUUCCGUG
rnacentral:rRNA from 1 species